UACAGAGGGGGCAAGCGUUGUCCGGAAUUACUGGGCGUAAAGGGCGCGUAGGCGGCCCACUAAGUCAGACGUGAAAUCCCCCGGCUUAACCUGGGAACUGCGUCUGAUACUGGAGGGCUUGAGUAUGGGAGAGGGAUGUAGAAUUCCAGGUGUAGCGGCGAAAUGCGUAGAUAUCUGGAGGAAUACCGGUGGCGAAGGCGGCAGCCUGGACCAAUACUGACGCUGAGGCGCGAAAGCGAGGGGAGCAAACAGG
rnacentral:rRNA from 1 species